AACUCAACCCCGUUCUUCUUUUCCUAAACCCAACCAUGCCGUUGUUGUUACGCGUCCCGUUAUUGUUUUCCUAAAUCCAACCGUCCCGUUCUUCUUUUGAUAAACCCAACCCGAGCUCCAAAUGCAACACUUCAUAGUUCAACU